rnacentral:rRNA from 1 species
GAUCCUCUAGAGAUUCGCGGCCUAUCAGCUUGUUGGUGAGGUAACGGCUCACCAAGGCGACGACGGGUAGCCGGCCUGAGAGGGUGACCGGCCACACUGGGACUGAGACGCGGCCCAGACUCCUACGGGAGGCAGCAGUGGGGAAUAUUGCACAAUGGGCGCAAGCCUGAUGCAGCAACGCCGCGUGAGGGACGACGGCCUUCGGGUUGUAAACCUCUUUUAGUAGGGAAGAAGCGAAAGUGACGGUACCUGCAGAAAAAGCACCGGCUAACUACGUGCCAGCAGCCGCGGUAAUACGUAGGGACCGAGCGUUAUCCGGAUUUAUUGGGCGUAAAGAGCUCGUAGGCGGUUGCGUAAGUCGGAUGUGAAAACUCAGGGCUUAACCCUGAGACGCCAUCCGAUACUGCGCUGACUUGAAUCCAGUAGGGGAGUGUGGAAUUUGUUGUGUAGCGGUGAAAUGCGCAGAUAUAACAAGGAACACCUAUGGCGAAGGCAGCACUCUGGGCUGGUAUUGACGCUGAGGAGCGAAAGCAUGGGUAGCAAACAGGAUUAGAUACCCUGGUAGUCCAUGCCGUAAACGGUGGGCACUAGGUGUGGGGACUUUCAACGGUUUCCGUGUCGCAGCUAACGCAUUAAGCGCCCCGCCUG